UUAGUUAAUAAUAAUAAUAAAGGGUGAGAUGAGAGAAAUAGACACGGUAAAGACGCGGUCGUUACAUAAAGUCGCAUAUUUUAUCGUUACGUAACAACGGAUUUAACGAUACGAUACAAUAAAUUUAAGUAAUAAUUAAAAAAAAAUUGUAUUUAAAGUAAUACAUAAAAUACAAUAUGUAACAACCAUCCAAACAAGCUGUAAAUAGUCGUCCGCCCAACCGGUUAAACUAAAAAUAUUCGACGGAUAUAUAAUAUAAAUAUAAUUCAUGUAUAAUAUAUGUACAGUAUAAAUAUAAUUCAUGUUUAAUAUACGUAUAGUUAUAUAUAAUCAGUGCUUAAUCUAUGUAUAUUGAUUAGAAAAGUAAAUAAUAAAAUUGUCCGGCUAUUUGUACAAGGAUCCCGAGUAAAUUAGGCCCAACUAUGAACCGGUUCAUAAGUCCACUUUCAACCCCACUCACUCUAUCUCCUACUUACGGUUGAGCCUUCAUUUCUCCUUUCAUCCUACAAAAAAAAAAAAAAAGGCCAUUUCUGCAAAAUGUUAAACUGCUUACACCCUGUUUGGAAGAACCCCAUAACACUAGCUUCCUCUUCUUCUCCAUUUUUCCACUGUUUCCAAACAUGUCC
rnacentral:lncRNA from 1 species